CGGGGGGCAGCAGUGGGGAAUUUUGGACAAUGGGCGCAAGCCUGAUCCAGCCAUUCCGCGUGAGUGAAGAAGGCCUUCGGGUUGUAAAGCUCUUUCGCAAGGGAAGAAAACUUAUCCUCUAACAUAGGAUGAGGUUGACGGUACCUUGAUAAGAAGCACCGGCUAACUACGUGCCAGCAGCCGCGGUAAUACGUAGGGUGCGAGCGUUAAUCGGAAUUACUGGGCGUAAAGCGUGCGCAGGCUGUUUUGUAAGUCAGAUGUGAAAUCCCUGAGCUCAACUUAGGAACUGCGUUUGAAACUACAAGACUAGAAUAUGUCAGAGGGGGGUAGAAUUCCACGUGUAGCAGUGAAAUGCGUAGAGAUGUGGAGGAAUACCAAUGGCGAAGGCAGCCCCCUGGGAUAAUAUUGACGCUCAUGCACGAAAGCGUGGGGAGCAAACAGGAUUAGAUACCCGAGU
rnacentral:rRNA from 1 species